ensembl:misc_RNA Metazoa_SRP Metazoan signal recognition particle RNA
GCUGGGCACGUGCCUGUAGUCCCAGCUACUCCAGAAGCUGAGGCGGAAGGAUCAUUUGAGCCUAGGAGUUCUGGGCUGUAGUGCACUAUUCAGAUCAGGUGUCCGCACUAAGCUCGGCAUCAAUAUGGUGACCUCCCGGGAGCAGGGGACAACCAGGUUGCCUAAGCAGGGGUGAACUGGCCCAGGUCGGAAACAAUGCAGGUCAAAACCCCCGUGCUGAUGAGUAGUGGGAUUGCACCUGUGAACAGCCACUGCACUUCAGCCUGGGCAACAUAGUGAGACCCCGUCUCUA